rnacentral:rRNA from 1 species
GAUUAAGUUAUUAAGGGCGCACGGUGGAUGCCUUGGCACUAGAAGCCGAUGAAGGACGUUACUAACGACGAUAUGCUUUGGGGAGCUGUAAGUAAGCUUUGAUCCAGAGAUUUCCGAAUGGGGAAACCCAGCAUGAGUUAUGUCAUGUUAUCGAUAUGUGAAUACAUAGCAUAUCAGAAGGCACACCCGGAGAACUGAAACAUCUUAGUACCCGGAGGAAGAGAAAGAAAAUUCGAUUCCCUUAGUAGCGGCGAGCGAAACGGGAAGAGCCCAAACCAACAAGCUUGCUUGUUGGGGUUGUAGGACACUCUAUACGGAGUUACAAAGGACGACAUUAGACGAAUCAUCUGGAAAGAUGAAUCAAAGAAGGUAAUAAUCCUGUAGUCGAAAAUGUUGUCUCUCUUGAGUGGAUCCUGAGUACGACGGAGCACGUGAAAUUCCGUCGGAAUCUGGGAGGACCAUCUCCUAAGGCUAAAUACUCUCUAGUGACCGAUAGUGAACCAGUACCGUGAGGGAAAGGUGAAAAGCACCCCGGAAGGGGAGUGAAAUAGAACCUGAAACCGUGUGCUUACAAGUAGUCAGAGCCCGUUAAUGGGUGAUGGCGUGCCUUUUGUAGAAUGAACCGGCGAGUUACGAUUUGAUGCAAGGUUAAGCAGUAAAUGUGGAGCCGUAGCGAAAGCGAGUCUGAAUAGGGCGUUUAGUAUUUGGUCGUAGACCCGAAACCAGGUGAUCUACCCUUGGUCAGGUUGAAGUUCAGGUAACACUGAAUGGAGGACCGAACCGACUUACGUUGAAAAGUGAGCGGAUGAACUGAGGGUAGCGGAGAAAUU